rnacentral:lncRNA from 1 species
AUGCUAACUUAACUUUUUUUUUUUUUUUUUAAUAUGAGUACGGGAUUGUGAUGUUGAAAAGUUGUGACCCAUUUUAAACAGGCUUGAGAAUAACAGUUAUUUGUGAUUUGUAUAGUUUGGUGUCUAUUCUUUUAAAUUCUUAUGACUCAGAAUAAAUUGGAUAGAAGAAAUUGCCUAGUUAUAAAGAAUAUGAUUAAGAAAUUUGUUUAUGUAAAUUUAAUUUCCAUUUCUUGAAUGUGCUUAUGUAUACUUUUUUCCCAUUCUGAUCAACUGGAGGAACCUAUUAGUUUGUAAAUAUUAGAUCUAGUUUUCUUACUUAAUUCACAGAAUUUUGUAUAUACUGAAUUCUUAUUACAUAUUGGUUGAAUUGUGUUCAAAAUUUUAUUAAUAAAAGUCUACCUGUUUCAUGCAGUAUUUCUUUUUUUAUAACUAGAAUAUGUGGUCUUUGAUAUUCAUUUUUUUACUUCUUUAAAAUUGUGAUUUCACAUUGUUUCUUAGACUGUCAGAAGCAAAUUCUCUUUUUUGUUGUCUAUUUUCUUUUGUAUAAGUGUUACUCAUUGAUUAAGUUUAAUAGUAGACUGACAGUAAGUUCUGGUUUGCCUGUCACAAUCUUGGUUUGCCUGUAUUAUUAUGGCUUAAUUAUUAAUAGCUUCCUCAUUCACUCUUAGAAGAGUAUCUUGGUUUGGACAAUAAAUUAUUUAGUCACAAUAUUCAAUAACAACUUUUAAUUGUGAGUUCACAAAAAUUUUUAGAGAAGAGGAAAGGACAGGAAAGUUUAGAUGAAUUUUUUUUUUUACUUUGUGUAAUGUAUGUUUUCAUUUAAUUAAAUUAAAUAGGAUGUUAAAUAUAAGUGUAUUUCUUGAAUGUUGAUUGAUGAAAUGAUGCUUUUUUCCUUUUUUUCAGGUAUUUUAACAGCAGUGAUAACAAUUUACAGUAUUGGGGACUGGAUUAUCCACCUCUUACAGCUUAUCAUAGUCUUUUAUGUGCAUAUGUGGCAAAGUUUAUAAAUCCAGACUGGAUUGCUCUCCAUACAUCACGUGGAUACGAGAGUCAGGCACAUAAGCUCUUCAUGCGUGCAACAGGUAAAAGAGCAGUAGGUACUGAGCGUAAAAUUUGAUUUAAAAAUUUUUUUGAACAAACUGAUGACAGGUUCUAUUACUGUUCUUACUGAUUUUUACAGUUGUAUAACUAUAAUAUGCAUAUAUGUAUAUGAGCAAAUGUAUAUGUAAGGUAAAAAACAAGAGAAGAACUGAAUAAUUCUGAGUACUUUAAAUUUAUUAUUAUCUCACUUAAUAAUGUGAAUACCCAAAUGAGGUAAAUACUGUUUUGUUUUGUUUUUGU